rnacentral:rRNA from 1 species
CACUCCUACGGGAGGCAGCAGUGGGGAAUUUUGGACAAUGGGCGAAAGCCUGAUCCAGCAAUGCCGCGUGAGUGAAGAAGGCCUUCGGGUUGUAAAGCUCUUUUGUCAGGGAAGAAACGGUGAAAGCUAAUAUCUUUUGCUAAUGACGGUACCUGAAGAAUAAGCACCGGCUAACUACGUGCCAGCAGCCGCGGUAAUACGUAGGGUGCAAGCGUUAAUCGGAAUUACUGGGCGUAAAGCGUGCGCAGGCGGUUUUGUAAGUCUGAUGUGAAAUCCCCGGGCUCAACCUGGGAAUUGCAUUGGAGACUGCAAGGCUAGAAUCUGGCAGAGGGGGGUAGAAUUCCACGUGUAGCAGUGAAAUGCGUAGAUAUGUGGAGGAACACCGAUGGCGAAGGCAGCCCCCUGGGUCAAGAUUGACGCUCAUGCACGAAAGCGUGGGGAGCAAACAGGAUUAGAAACCCCUGUAGUCCCAU